rnacentral:lncRNA from 1 species
AGAUGCAAGGAAGAAGAGGGACUUUUCUGUCAUGCUUGGGAACUAGAAGAGAGUAGCAAUCAUAAUGCUCGUUAUGAACCAUUGAAUUGAUUUACAUGACCCUCCAGUGAUAUACAUCCUCCAAUGAUAUAUCCUCCAGCUUAUAAAGAGCCAAUUCAGACAUUAAAGACUUUAAGGAGUUAGAAAAUGCAGACCUUGAAGGUAUCUCUCCUGGUCCAGGUCUUCAGGGGUUCCUCUAUUCUCCAAAUCUGGGAAUGAAGAGGAAAGAGUACACUGAGCAUCCCUGAAUAGUGUUGGAGAAGUACUGACCCCUCCCUGUGUCCUCUCACUCAUCUGCCAAAUGGGGGAUCGAAGGAGUCUCGGGGGUGAACGCCACUGACCAGGCUCGGUUUGACUUGAGGAACUUGACUCAUCCCUUCUUGCUUCAAUUCUUAGUUCCUAAGAUGGGCAUAAAGAUGCCAACUUUUCCCCUCCCCAGCAGAGCUAGAAGGAUCUGCUCAGUUGAGUUGCUAUGCAAAUGCAUGGAAUCAGCAGCAAGCUUCAGCACAAUUGAGAAGUGAUUUCUAAAAUACCCAGGGCCAUUAGGAUUUGGAAUAGACAUGACCCAGAGGCUUUUUCUUAAAUACCCCACCAUGGGUUUUCAGUUUAUUUACUAAGACUGGAAAUCCAGACCACAAAAUUUGGACCUUCCCAUGAAGAACACAGAAUGCCAGUCACUUUCAGAGCGAGAAAUGAGCCUAGCACUGAAACUGGCAGUAUAGGGUAAGAGUCUCACGACAGACUGAAUUAUGUAACUCACAUGCACCUGGACAAGUCGGGCUUUGGCUGGCUGUACUUGAAGAUAAAAUCUUUAAAGAUGUGACUGAAUGGCAAUGAGAACAAAACUAGAGUUACAGGUGGGCCACUAAUUCAGUGUGGCCGUUGUCCCCACAAGAGCAGGAAUUUUGGACAUAUCAAGAGAUACUGGGGCUACACAUACAUAGAGAAGGAGCCUGUGACACUAGGCGUGCUGACGCAUGCCAGGAGACAGAGUCAGGGGUGAUUUUUAAUAUUUCACACAACAGGGGAUCAAGAGUUGGAGGUCACUCUCUGCUUACAUUCUAAGUUCCAGACCAGCUUGAAUUACACAGUGAGACUGUCCUUCAAGCAACAAUAACAAUAACAACGGUGAGAUGACAACGACAACGACGACGAUGACGACAAUGACGAUGACGACGACUACUACUACUACUACUACUACUAUGGAGCACGUAUGGAUAUGGAGAGGAUGGCAUCAAAAAGCCAUGGCGAGAGAUCUAAAGAAAAACCAACUCUACCCACACCUGAAUCUUAGACUUCUAGUCUCCAAAAGUUCAAGAAAAUAAAUGCUUAUUGUUU